ensembl:snRNA U1 U1 spliceosomal RNA
AAAUUUCCCUGGCAAGGGAAAUUGCAUGUUCUUGAGGGAGGUUUUCCUAGGGCGAGGCUGAUCCACUUCACUUUGGAUAUGCUGACCCCUGUGACUUCCCCAAAUGUGGAAAACUCCACUUCAUAAUUUAUAAUAGUAGGGGGCUGUGUUCACACUAUCCCCUG